rnacentral:rRNA from 1 species
GACGAACGCUGGCGGCGUGCUUAACACAUGCAAGUCGAACGGAAAGGCCCUGCUUUUGUGGGGUGCUCGAGUGGCGAACGGGUGAGUAACACGUGAGUAACCUGCCCUUGACUUUGGGAUAACUUCAGGAAACUGGGGCUAAUACCGGAUAGGAGCUCCUGCUGCAUGGUGGGGGUUGGAAAGUUUCGGCGGUUGGGGAUGGACUCGCGGCUUAUCAGCUUGUCGGUGGGGUAGUGGCUUACCAAGGCUUUGACGGGUAGCCGGCCUGAGAGGGUGACCGGCCACAUUGGGACUGAGAUACGGCCCAGACUCCUACGGGAGGCAGCAGUGGGGAAUAUUGCACAAUGGGCGGAAGCCUGAUGCAGCAACGCCGCGUGCGGGAUGACGGCCUUCGGGUCGUAAACCGCUUUCGCCUGUGACGAAGCGUGAGUGACGGUAAUGGGUAAAGAAGCACCGGCUAACUACGUG